GAUUAUAUAAUUAAGAAAUAGCUAAAAGGCAUAUUACCUAUGUGUAUUAACAAUUCACUUUAAAGCUUAAAGCUUAAAUGCUAAUUCAAGUAUGACCAGAACAGUAUGGUAUUGGAAUCAAAACAUGGAAAAACCAAAGCAGAACACGUCGAAAUUUCAAUUCUGUUCUGGUUCCUGGGCAUACCCUGAAUCCAAACCGGAACCACACUCUCCUAAUGGUAUCGAAUUAGUUUAAGGAGUAAUUCAUUAUUUAUAUUAGUAACACAAUUCCAUUGACAAGUAUUAUAAAAAUUCAGGAAAAGGGGAAUAAAGGAUAUAAAAUCUAUAAUGAAAAU
rnacentral:misc_RNA from 1 species